UCGAGGAUCAUUCGCAAUGGGCGAAAGCCUGACGAUGCGACGCUGUGUGAGCGAUGAAGGCCUUCGGGUUGUAAAGCUCUUUCGCCUUCGAACAAGAGAGUGUAGUGAAUAACUAUGCGAUUUGAGGGUACAAGGUAAAGAAGCACCGGCUAACUCCGUGCCAGCAGCUGCGGUAAUACGGAGGGUGCAAGCAUUAAUCGGAAUUAUUGGGCGUAAAGGGCGCGUAGGCGGAUUUGUAAGUCAGAUGUGAAAUCCCGAAGCUCAACUUCGGAGCUGCAUAUGAAACUGUGAGUCUAGAGGAAUGGCGGAGAAAACGGAAUUCCACGUGUAGCGGUGAAAUGCGUAGAUAUGUGGAAGAACACCUGUGGCGAAAGCGGUUUUCUAGCUUUUACCUGACGCUGAGGCGCGAGAGCAAGGGGAGCAAACAGG
rnacentral:rRNA from 1 species